CAAAAGCGUAUAUUAAAGUUGUUGCAGUUAAAAAGCUCGUAGUUGAACCUUGGGCUUGGCUGGCCGGUCCAUCUUUUUUGAUGCGUACUGGACCCAGCCGAGCCUUUCCUUCUGGCUAGCCUUUUUGGCGAACCAGGACUUUUACUUUGAAAAAAUUAGAGUGUUCAAAGCAGGCCUUUGCUCGAAUAUAUUAGUAUGGAAUAAUAGAAUAGGACGUUAUGGUUCUAUUUUGUUGGUUUCUAGGACCAUCGUAAUGAUUAAUAGGGACGGUCGGGGGUAUCAGUAUUCAGUAGUCAGAGGUGAAAUUCUUGGAUUUACUGAAGACUAACUACUGCGAAAGCAUUUACCAAGGACGUUUUCAUUAA
rnacentral:rRNA from 1 species